AAGCAACGCGAAGAACCUUACCAGGUCUUGACAUCCUUUGACCACUCUAGAGAUAGAGCUUCCCCUUCGGGGGCAAAGUGACAGGUGGUGCAUGGUUGUCGUCAGCUCGUGUCGUGAGAUGUUGGGUUAAGUCCCGCAACGAGCGCAACCCUUAUUGUUAGUUGCCAUCAUUCAGUUGGGCACUCUAGCAAGACUGCCGGUGACAAACCGGAGGAAGGUGGGGAUGACGUCAAAUCAUCAUGCCCCUUAUGACCUGGGCUACACACGUGCUACAAUGGGAAGUACAACGAGUUGCGAAGUCGCGAGGCUAAGCUA
rnacentral:rRNA from 1 species